UACGUAGGUGGCAAGCGUUGUCCGGAAUCAUUGGGCGUAAAGCGCACGUAGGCGGUCCAGUAAGUCGGGUGUGAAAGCCCUCGGCUCAACCGAGGAAGUGCAUUCGAAACUACUGAACUUGAGUAUGGAAGAGGGUCGCGGAAUUCCCGGUGUAGAGGUGAAAUUCGUAGAUAUCGGGAGGAACACCAGUGGCGAAGGCGGCGACCUGGGCCAAUACUGACGCUGAGGUGCGAAAGCGUGGGGAGCAAACAGG
rnacentral:rRNA from 1 species